UGCUCCAUGACUUUAAAUAGCCGCAGAUCCUCUGUGCUNAGGUAGNAUAAUAACUUGCCUUUCAAUUGAAGGAUAGAAUGAAAGGACUCAUGACUUUUUCCUUCUCUCAGUUUAUUUUAUAUAAAAUUCACCUAUAAGNNAAAAGACUUAUCUAUCAUGGNAGGACGACAAGACCCUAUAGAACUUCACUUUAAGUUAAACUGGGGAGGUAAUUAACUAAAACUUAGUAAAACACCAUCUAAUAUAUAGACCUACUACUAUUAACNAUUAAAACAAGUUACCUUAGGGAUAACAGUGUAAUUUCUUUCCAUAUAUAUAUUAAAAAGAAGCUUUCCACCUCGAUGUUGAAUUAAUAUAACUUACUAAUUAAACAUUAAUCAAGUAGGUCUGUUCGACCUUUAAAAUAUUACAUGAUUUGAGUUCAGACCGGUGCAAACCAGGUCAGAUUCUAUCCUCCUCUAUUUUAUUACAGUACGAAAGGGCCUAAUAAUAGAUAA
rnacentral:rRNA from 1 species